AGAAUCAACGCUGGCGGCGUGCCUAACACAUGCAAGUCGAACGCGAAAGUGGAGCAAUCCAUGAGUAGAGUGGCAAACGGGUGAGUAACACGUGGGUGACCUGCCUUCGAGCGGGGGAUAACGUCCCGAAAGGGACGCUAAUACCGCAUAACAUCCUGCCUUUUAAGAGGUGGAGAUCAAAGCCGGGGAUUCGCAAGAACCUGGCACUUGAAGAGGGGCCCGCGCCUGAUUAGCUAGUUGGUGGGGUAAUGGCCUACCAAGGCAACGAUCAGUA
rnacentral:rRNA from 1 species